rnacentral:lncRNA from 1 species
AUGGAGGGGAGGGGAAAUGGAGACGUGAUCCAGUGCUAUCCACCAAUAGCUGAGCAUCAAGAUGAGGGAGAUGAUGAUGAUGAUGAUGAUGAUGAAGAAGAUGAUCAGAUACAGUAUCUCAGUGGUGGAACCAAACAGAAAACGCACAUGAAAAUUGAUCACCAAACCAACAAAAAGCUCCACAUUCAGCAUACCACUGUCACAAAGCCUGACCUUGCAAAUCUCAGCCCAAGGUGUGUGCACGCCCACACAUGCAUGCAUUUAAAAAACAUUCAAAGAUACUGUAUUUUAAUAGACAUUUGCUCACUGUUGCGUGAAGGACUUUGUGAGAGCAGUAAAGUGGAUUUCUGUUUGUGUGUGUUCAGGGUCGUGGAUGGUACAGAGGACAGUGAUGGUACAGAAAAUUCACACACAUUCAUAUUUUCCUCUGGCCAUCAGCACACCAUCAGUGGUGCAACUAAUACCACUGCCACCACAGCAGAAUUAGCAGCUAAAUCAGAGGACACCAGGGGACAGCUACGCCACCUUAACCAAGAGGUGAACUCUCUCGGACGGGAGGUGGCUGAGCUGGGUCGAGUCAUGCGGAGUCUCGCCUAUCUCAUCGAAUCCAUGAUGGCCUCUCCUCAAACACCAGGUGGCUGUACAUCCACGUUUACCUCGGGAUAUCCUUCACCUCCGGUCCCCUUCCCGAGCCAGGGUUCUUCUUGGACCAGCCCUCCUUUUUCUUCACCGAUGCACCCUGGAAUACGACCAGGAGGACUUGUAAACCAUCCGCUCAGACCACAAGAACUGCAGCUGGUCUGCCCCACCACAUCUCCCGGUUCCUUUCCCAUCACACUUUCCUCCUCCUCCCAUACAGACAGAUUCAGAGAGCCAUUAUUGACCCUUUCUCCACACAGCGCAGUUGCUCGGACCCGCUCGCAGAGUCUGGAGACGCCUCUCCUGCAGCAUCACCAACACAUCUCACACACCCCUGGAACUUUACCCAGAGCUGGACAGCCAUCGCUGGGAGAAGGGGAGGAUCUCAGGUCCCUGGGAUUGUAG